UUGCUUGUAUGUUUCUCUUCAAGUUAGAGAGGAAGAUUUUGAUGUGAAUUUCUGGAUAAAAUCCCUGAUUUCUCUUACUUGGAUUCAGAUCACCAUAUGCUGAAUCGGAUUUCUUUAACAAGAUUGAUCAUUGCGGAUGAGAUGGACUACUUAAUAACACGAGACCGGGCUGUGCUACAUGACGUUUUCAUGCUUACCAACCACCAGUUCUCAAGAUGCAUACUAAUAGGAAUUGCAAAUGCCAUAGACCCAACAGAUCGCUUUCUACCAAAGCUUCAAUCAUUAAAUUGUAAGCAUUCUUGCUAUAUUUGCUGUAGUGAAAAUUGAAGGCGUCUCUAGAACAGGAAAAUGAGUCUGCCUUUUGUUCCCGACACUCCUUCAUAUCUUGUGUUCUGCAUUCUUGUGUCUCACUAUGGGAGCAAUAUUUAGUCAAUCCAGCAAUUAGUGAACAUAGCAUUGCGUGCAUUUUUAAGUAAACCCAAUUUCACAAAGAUUUUCUUCUGUUCCAUUGUUAGCGC